GGGGGUGUAGCUCAGCUGGUUAGAGCGCCGGCCUGUCACGCCGGAGGCCGCGGGUUCGAGUCCCGUCACUCCCGCCA
rnacentral:tRNA from 10 species